AUUGAACGCUGGCGGCGUGCCUAACACAUGCAAGUCGAGCGGUAACAGGUGUAGCAAUACAUGCUGACGAGCGGCGAACGGGUGAGUAAUGCUUCGGAAUCUACCCAAUGGUGGGGAAUAACCAGCCGAAAGGUUGGCUAAUACCGCAUACGUCCCACGGGAGAAAGCAGGGGAUCACAAGACCUUGCGCCAAUGGAUGAGCCGAAGUCGGAUUAGCUAGUUGGAGGGUAACGGCCUACCAAGGCGACGAUCCGUAGCUGGUCUGAGAGGACGACCAGCCACACUGGGACUGAGACACGGCCCAGACUCCUACGGGAGGCAGCAGUGGGGAAUAUUGGACAAUGGGGGAAACCCUGAUCCAGCGACGCCGCGUGUGUGAAGAAGGCCUGCGGGUU
rnacentral:rRNA from 1 species